rnacentral:rRNA from 1 species
CUACACAUGCAGUCGACGCACUCGACCUUCGGGUCACAUGAGUGAGUGGCGAACGGGUGAGUAACACGUGAGGAACCUGCCCCGAAGACUGGAAUAACCCGGGGAAACUCGGGCUAAUACCGGAUGCCCCCAUCGGAUCGCAUGAUCCGGUGAGGAAAUGCUCCGGCGCUUCGGGAGGGUCUCACGGCCUAUCAGCUAGUUGGUGAGGUAACGGCUCACCAAGGCAACGACGGGUAGCUGGUCUGAGAGGACGAUCAGCCACACUGGGACUGAGACACGGCCCAGACUCCUACGGGAGGCAGCAGUGGGGAAUCUUGCGCAAUGGGCGAAAGCCUGACGCAGCCACGCCGCGUGAGGGAUGAAGGCUCUCGGGUUGUAAACCUCUUUCAGCAGGGACGAAAAUGACGGUACCUGCAGAAGAAGCUCCGGCCAACUACGUGCCAGCAGCCGCGGUAACACGUAGGGAGCGAGCGUUGUCCGGAUUUAUUGGGCGUAAAGAGCUCGUAGGCGGUUCGGUAAGUCAGGUGUGAAAGCUCGAGGCUCAACCUCGAGAAGCCAUCUGAUACUGCUGUGACUUGAGUCCGGUAGGGGAGUGUGGAAUUCCUGGUGUAGCGGUGAAAUGCGCAGAUAUCAGGAGGAACACCUACAGCGAAGGCAGCACUCUGGGCCGGUACUGACGCUGAGGAGCGAAAGCGUGGGGAGCGAACAGGAUUAGAUACCCUGGUAGUCCACGCCGUAAACGUUGGGCACUAGGUGUGGGGUCGAACUAACCGAUUCCGUGCCGUAGCUAACGCAUUAAGUGCCCCGCC